rfam:Oryza sativa Japonica Group DNA, chromosome 9, cultivar: Nipponbare, complete sequence.
AAAAAGUCAAACCCUAGGUUUCCGUGUCUAACUUUAACUGUCCGUCUUAUAUGAAAUUUUUUUAUAAUUCGUAUUUUCAUUAUUGUUAGAUGAUAAAACAUGAUUAAUAUUUUAUGCAUGACUUGUCUUUUUAUUUUUUUUCAUAAUUUUUUCAAAUAAGAUGGAUGAUCAAACAUUGGACACGAAAACUAGGGUUUGUCUUUUU